UACGUAGGGUGCGAGCGUUGUCCGGAAUUAUUGGGCGUAAAGGGCUCGUAGGCGGUUUGUCGCGUCGGGAGUGAAAAUCCAGGGCUUAACUCGGAAAGGUCAACUGAUACUGUGCGACUAGAGUGCAGAAGGGGCAACUGGAAUUCUCGGUGUAGCGGUGAAAUGCGUAGAUAUCGAGAGGAACACCUGCGGCGAAGGCGGGUUGCUGGGCUGACACUGACGCUGAUGCGCGAAAGCCAGGGGAGCGAACAGG
rnacentral:rRNA from 1 species